rnacentral:lncRNA from 1 species
GAGUCGUGCAAAACUGGGUUAUGGAAUGGAGAGUUAAUAGAAAGACAGAUGGAAUAUCCAUAUAAAGAGUUUGUUCUUGGCCAGUACUCUGAUCUUCCAUAUAAUUUCCCAUAUAGCUGGGUUCAACACAACAAGCGAGGCAGAACGAUAGAGGAAGCAUUUCCAACCAAAAUGUUUGAGGAGUUGGUGUUGUUCCAAAUAACAGCAUCAUCAGUAGAGUAACGGCUAAAUGGGAUAGAAAAUAAUAGCUUCAUGAAGCUUUUAAUAUUUUACUAUUAUUCUGUAAUU